rnacentral:lncRNA from 1 species
CACCAAUCUGGAGCUGACUUUUGAUCUUCGUGACGAAAACUCAAAAACUCACCCAAAACGUAACAGCUCCUGCACAGAUGAAAUCAGGUGUCGCCGGAGAGUCUCCUACAGAAGAAAGUUUUCUACAGGCUCCCACAACAAGGUGCCAGUGGCCACAUACUGCGGCAGUCGGCAGCAGCGGCGCAUGUACGACUCGUCAGUGGAGGACAGGAGGGAGUCUGCGGAGGAGGAGGGAGAGGAGGAAGAGGAGGAGGAAGAGGAGGAG